GCAGACAAGUUGACACUUCGAAAAUUUUCUAUCUUUAAUCCACUAGCUUCUGCGUGAAACAAGUGUUUUCAAUAGUGUUUAUUUUAGCUUUCGAUAUUUAAAGUUUUGCUAGUUAUAUAAUGUUUUGUGAAAUAUGUGAAAUGAUUUAAGGAGUGUGCAACUACGUUUUAAGAAAGUGCAGUGUUUGUGAACAAAGGAACAGCAUGUGUGUACUCGUUCGCACUGCUUCUGAUUUUCACGAACGGGUUCUGUUAUGUUGCUGUGCUCCACUGUAUCAUCAUAUUCUAUCGGCUCAUCAUUAGAAUUUGUUCGAUCAACCAUAUCAACGGAAUCAUGCUGAGUCGGCGAAACAAUGGGCAAUGUGCUUGUUUUUACCGUGGCCGUUUUCGACGAAGGAAACGCAGUUUUCAAGUCCGAUGGCGACCCAGUAACACGAGGACAAUAUCACUGUUUUGCAAACACACAAACGAUGCACGGCUGUAAAAUACUAUAUUAGAGUUCCACUAUUCAAAUAACUCCGACGCGUUCAACUAUUUGGCCGAUAUGAAAUGUAAACAAAGUUUGAUUUGACAGCUUUGAAUAAACGCAGCAAGCUACGACACGCACACCAUUGCAAGAUCCGCGAUGUUUCACUCACACAAUGAAAGAAAACAACCUCGCGAAUUCGAGAGAGCGUACCGUGUAUUUUGAAUGCAAACGAGAGAGCGCACUCCUCUCCCAGGGAGCGCUCCAUCCGCCAUUUUUAAUUUCGAGCUUAAAACGUUUUCGAUUUUGACGUUUGACGUUUAAUUGUUCGGCCGCAUUUCCGUCGCGCUCCGUGAUUUUUCAAUAAUUCUCUUGUGUUUUCUGCGUCGCAUCGCAUUGUUGCCUUUUCUACGGACUAUUAAACUGUUUAACAUCAU